rnacentral:piRNA from 1 species
UCUGGAAUGCCUAGGAGAUGGGCUGGUUGAU